GGGGGAACACUCUGCUGCUGCCAAGACCUCCAACGGGCUGGAGGAAAAAGCUUCCACACCCUGCUUCUCCACUGGUGUCCUCCCUGAGCUGAGGCUGGCCUGAGCUUUGGAGCUGGCCAUGUAUUCUACAGGUCCUACCUCCAAAGCUAUAGUAAAGUCCUUGGUGACCCCACUACAACGAGGAAGCUGCCACCAGUGCUUUGAGUCCAACUGUCUCAGGGGAAUCUGAGAUGCUGGGAUGGCACCAAGCCU